CCAUCCCUACGGGAGGCAGCAGUAGGGAAUCUUCCACAAUGGACGAAAGUCUGAUGGAGCAACGCCGCGUGAGUGUAGAAGGGUUUCGGCUCGUAAAGCUCUGUUGGUAGGGAAGAAAGAUAGAGGUAGUAACUUGCCUUUAUUUGACGGUAAUUACUUAGAAAGUCACGGCUAACUACGUGCCAGCAGCCGCGGUAAUACGUAGGUGGCAAGCGUUGUCCGGAUUUAUUGGGGGUAAAACGA
rnacentral:rRNA from 1 species